rnacentral:rRNA from 1 species
CGAUGAUACGCGAGGAACCGUUACCUGGGCUCGAACGUAAGAUGACUGUAGGUGAAAGCUUACAUCUCUUCGGAGCAUUUUACGAGGUGCUGCAUGGUUGUCGUCAGCUCGUGCCGUGAGGUGUCGGGUUAAGUCCCAUAACGAGCGCAACCCCUACCUUUAGUUGCCAUCAGGUUAAGCUGGGGACUCUAAAGGAACUGCCUACGCAAGUAGUGAGGAAGCGGGGAUGACGUCAAAUCAGCACGGCCCUUACGUCCAGGGCUACACACGUGCUACAAUGGCCGAUACAGAGGGCAGCUACCUGGUGACAGGAUGCAAAUCUCCAAAGUCGGUCUCAGUUCGGAUCGGAGUCUGCAACCCGACUCCGUGAAGUUGGAUUCGCUAGUAAUCGCGCAUCAGCCAUGGCGCGGUGAAUACGUUCCCGGGCCUU